rnacentral:lncRNA from 1 species
UUUCCUUUCAAAAAAAUAAAAUAAAGCAUCAUCUCUUCAAAAUGUCAUUUCUCUCUCUUCCAAGCUUGUUCACCACCAUCAUCUCUCCCCUUCUCCGGCCACAAGUCUGGCAGAGCUAACAAAAGGAGUGGGAACGGCGGACCGGCGAACCGGAGUGGGAACGAAGAGAGAGAGAGAGACAGAAGGAGAGAGAUGAACACAAGGGAGUGGGCCGGCGGACCGGCAUCGGUUUAGCGGCGGCGAUUGGGGGAUUUUGGGACGGUGGUGUUCCUCCGGUAUGGCUUGUGACACAAGAACCUGCUUUAGCAUGUUUAAGCAUAUCGGAUAUAUAUUCCUACAUACCAGCCCGUUGGUAAUGUUCAGGUGUCCCCAAAUUCUGGAAGGAGGACAUUUAUUCCAGAUGUUGAUGAUUUGAUUAAACCUCAGAUGCAUAUGACGUUUGAUUCGUUGGAAAAUGCUUUUCUUUUUUAGCAAAGAUAUGCUAAGGCGGGAGGUUUCACAGCUAGGAAGGGUACUCAAUACGAGCCUCGAAAGGGUGUAAUACAUAAUAAAUGGUUCGUAUGCUCAAAAGAGGGUACUAAACCCUUAAAGGCGAUUGACUCGACUCAGGAAGCUGGUAGUUCUAAUGUUAACUCGAAGUCUAAGAUUACUCGCAGGGUUCCUUCUAUAAGGACCGGAUGUGAAGCGUGCAUUCGGGUUAAGUUAAUAACCCCGGAUAAUCUUUACGUGGUUUACUACUUCGAGGAGUCGCAUAAUCACUCAUUUGUUGUUGAAGAUGACAGGUACUUGCUUCCUGAAAACAAAUCUAUGAAUUACGUACAGGAAGAAGCCGUGAAUGCUUUGAGUGCCAUAAACGUUGGUCCAGUUAGAGCGUUUAACAUUAUGAGGACUCUUUAUGGAGGUUUCGAUAAGGUAUGCGCAACUAAAGUUGACUUCAAGAACUUCAAGAGAGACUUAAAUAGGUAUAUAGCUGAGUACGAUGCUGACAUGGUUAUCAAACGCCUAAGAAGGAAGAAGGAAUUUAUGCCCAAUUUCUCUAUGGAAUACCUUACAACUGCUGAGGGCGUCUUACGUGCGUUGUUCUGGGCCGAUGGUGAUACAAAGAGAAAUUUUAAUAUUUUUGGGGAUGUUGUGUCGUUCGAUGCUACUUAUCGUCGUAACAAGUACAAUAUGAUGUUUGUACCUUUUACCGGCGUUGACAAUCACUAUCGUAAUGUUACCUUGGGUGCUGCUAUUAUAGGGGAUGAAACUGCCGAAACAUAUAGCUGGUUGCUCAACGCAUUUCGGCAGGCGUUUGGGCGCGCACCACCUGUGAUUGUAACUGAUCAAGACCCAGCGAUGAGGAAAGCUAUUCAAGAUACUUGGCCUGAAAGUAGGCACAGGCUUUGCAUGUGGCAUAUAAUGGAGAAACUCACUACCAGGGUUUAUUAAAUACCAAAAUUAUGGUUUACGACGUUAUUUGUUUUAAUGGAAUUUUUUUUUGUUUUUUUUGUACUUUUUUAUAUAUGAAUAUGUCGGUUUUUGUUUAUUGAUGUUGUUUUACUUUUAUAUAAUGUUUUAUCAGGUUGGCGCCAACCUAUGCAAUAGCACUGAUUUUAAGAAGAGGUUGUGUGAUAUUGUUU